GCUACUACCGAUUGAAUGGUGUAGUGAGGACUCCUGAUUGGCGCCGCCGCCCCGGCAACGGAGCAGCGGACUGCCGAAAAGUUGUUCAAACUUGAUCAUUUAGAGGAAGUAAAAGUCGUAACAAGGUUUCUGUAGGUGAACCUGCAGAAGGAUCAAGAGAGGAAGAGCGUCUUGUAGGGGAGGAGUGUAGACGUCGGUGGUCGCCGUAUCAUUAAAAAAAAAAAAAACAAAGCCAUAAUACACUGUUACCAUAACGCGUACCAACAUCCGCUAGAC
rnacentral:misc_RNA from 1 species